GAUGAACGCUGGCGGCGUGCCUAAUACAUGCAAGUCGAGCGAACGGACGAGAAGCUUGCUUCUCUGAUGUUAGCGGCGGACGGGUGAGUAACACGUGGAUAACCUACCUAUAAGACUGGGAUAACUUCGGGAAACCGGAGCUAAUACCGGAUGAUAUUUUGAACCGCAUGGUUCAAAAGUGAAAGACGGUCUUGCUGUCACUUAUAGAUGGAUCCGCGCUGCAUUAGCUAGUUGGUAAGGUAACGGCUUACCAAGGCAACGAUGCAUAGCCGACCUGAGAGGGUGAUCGGCCACACUGGAACUGAGACACGGUCCAGACUCCUACGGGAGGCAGCAGUAGGGAAUCUUCCGCAAUGGGCGAAAGCCUGACGGAGCAACGCCGCGUGAGUGAUGAAGGCCUUCGGAUCGUAAAACUCUGUUAUUAGGGAAGAACAUAUGUGUAAGUAACUGUGCACAUCUUAACGGUACCUAAUCAGAAAGCCACGGCUAACUACGUG
rnacentral:rRNA from 1 species